GCCAGGAAUGCAGGGCAGAUCAGAGCGAGCCAAACCAGGAAUGGAAGUUCUCACAGUCACUACUGAGCCCAGGGACAGACCAAGAUCAUUCACACAGGUCAGCAUGGUGCAUCACUUUGUUCCUCUUCUCAGAAGCGCUGCCAACCCAGGGUCGUCCCAAGCCCAGUUUAUAUCGUCAAGGUCCUCAGCGUCUUAGAACAGUGUCUUAUUAAAAUACUCUGUGUCUGGAA
ensembl:antisense Gm7568 predicted gene 7568